AAUAAAAAAUAAUAAAAUAAAAAAAGAAUAAAAAUAAAUAAAACUAAAAUAAUAAAUGAUGGGUUAAAAACCAAAAAGGUGAUUUAGGCAAAAGGAGAGCUAGAGAAGAUUCAAGUGGAAAACCUGAAAGGGUCAUUUGAUAGGUUAUGAAUUUUAUCUAACUUGUAAAAGUUAAUUAGUAAAGUUGUAAUAUGAUAAAAG
rnacentral:misc_RNA from 1 species